rnacentral:rRNA from 1 species
UACGUAGGUGGCAAGCGUUAUCCGGAUUUAUUGGGUUUAAAGGGAGCGUAGGUGGAUUGUUAAGUCAGUUGUGAAAGUUUGCGGCUCAACCGUAAAAUUGCAGUUGAAACUGGCAGUCUUGCGUACAGUAGAGGUGGGCGGAAUUCGUGGUGUAGCGGUGAAAUGCAUAGAUAUCACGCAGAACUCCGAUUGCGAAGGCAGCAUACCGGCGCUCAACUGACGCUCAUGCACGAAAGCGUGGGUAUCGAACAGG